rnacentral:rRNA from 1 species
AUUGAACGCUGGCGGCAUGCCUUACACAUGCAAGUCGAACGGUAACGCGCCUUCCGGUGCCGUCGGACGGUGGACGGGGGCGUAUUACAUCCGAACGUGCACGCUCGCGGUGGGUAAGGGGGCGCAAGCGUUGCUAAUACCUCAUACGAUCUACUGAUUAGAGCCGGGGGGCGCAAGGCUGUGAGCCGGCGUUGCGGCCGCUGGCAGAUUAGGUAGUUGGUGGGAUAAAAGCUUACCAAGUCGACGAUCUGUAGCUGGUCUGAGAGGAUGAUCAGCCACACUGGGACUGAGACACGGCCCAGACUCCUACGGGAGGCAGCAGUGGGGAAUUUUGGACAAUGGGCGCAAGCCUGAUCCAGCCAUGCCGCGUGCAGGAUGAAGGUCUUCGGGUUGUAAACUGCUGUUGUACGGAACGAAAAGCCUUCUAUGAAAACAGGCGGGUCAUGACGGUACCGAAAGAAUAAGCACCGGCUAACUACGUG